CUCCAGACUCCUACGGGAGGCAGCAGUGGGGGAUAUUGCACAAUGGGGGGAACCCUGAUGCAGCGACGCCGCGUGGGUGAAGAAGUAUUUCGGUAUGUAAAGCCCUCUCGGCAGGGAAGAAAUUGGACGGUACCUGACUAAGAAGCCCUGGCUAACUACGUGCCAGCAGCCGCGGUAAUACGUAGGGGGCAAGCGUUAUCCGGAUUCACUGGGUGUAAAGGGAGCGUAGACGGCCAUGCAAGCCUGGAGUGAAAGGCGGGGGCUCAACCCCCGGACUGCUCUGGAAACUGUACGGCUGGAGUGCAGGAGAGGUAAGUGGAAUUCCUAGUGUAGCGGUGAAAUGCGUAGAUAUUAGGAGGAACACCAGUGGCGAAGGCGGCUUACUGGACUGUAACUGACGUUGAGGCUCGAAAGCGUGGGGAGCAAACAGGAUUAGAUACCCCCGUAA
rnacentral:rRNA from 1 species